CCCUUAGAUGUUCUGGGCCGCACGCGUGCUACACUGAGUGGAUCAGCGGGUCAGGUUGCGCGAAAGCGUUUCCUAAUCUUUAAAUCCGCUCGUGAUGGGGAUUGACGGUUGCAAUUUUCCGUCAUGAACGAGGAAUACCUUGUAAGCGCGGGUCAUCAUCCCGCGCUGAAUACGUCCCUGCCCUUUGUACACACCGCCCGUCGCUCCUAUCGAUUGAGUGGUCCGGUGAGGCUUUGGGAUCUGAGCGGAAAGAGCGUUUCGCUGUUUCUGCCCGGAAAACUCAGUCGAACCUUAUCAUUUAGAGGAAGGAGAAGUCGUAACA
rnacentral:rRNA from 1 species